UUGGUAUAUUAUAUCAUUUAGUUUGGUUAAAUAUUUCUUUUUAAUUUUCAGGUCGUCAAUUUUAUCAAUUAUAUCUAGCAGAAAUGUUUUUAUCAACAUCUUUUAUCAUAACGUUAAUAGUUUUACAAUUACAUAAAUUAUCUGACAAUUCUUGUGAUUCUAUUGAAGAAUCACUAAUAUUUCCUAUUUCUUCUAUAAAGUUAUCACUACUCGAUUUUUCCGAUGUUUCUAACUCUAAUAUUAAUAGUUUAGUUAAUUUUUCUUGUAUAUCUGGUUGAUCUUGGAAUAUUUCAAUUAUCUUCUUUUUCAUUUUACACUCUGUGGACUUAUGUCCAGGUCUUUUAUUCUUAUGAUGAUAUUUAGUUUUAUUAUAUCUAUUUUUAAUCGUUUAAUUCUUGACGGAUGGUUAAGUUGAUUAUAACCAUAUUGAUCACAAAGUGAUCCCAUAGUUAUUUUGAAUUUAAAUUUAUCAUUACGUUUCUUAUCUUUAUGUUCUUGACAUAUAUCUAAUCCUUCUUUCUUUAUAAAUGCAAAUAGUUGACCAUAAGUGAUUGUAUUCCAAAACAUCUAUGUAGAAUGAAAAGUAAAUAAUGUUUAGAAGG
rnacentral:lncRNA from 1 species